CCAUCAUAGCCAUAAUACUUGGCCAUGUCUACCAAUUUACGGGCAAUUGGGAAGCUACCAUCUGCGUCUUGCUUCAAAGCUUCAGCAAAUCUUUCUUGAUCUGCAAUACUAUUAGACCAGUUGAAGAAGAGUGUACCGUAUACAGGAACCCCGUUACGGUGACCUGCAUCAAUAACGUCAGGAGUUGGUACGAGACCUUCCCAGAAGACCAUUGAAUCUAGAUAUUGCCAAUAGUCAAAAGCAUAGGCCUUGAACUCUUCUCCACCAACAGAAGCAUGGUCUUUUGCUUUAGAAUUGGUGUUUGAUAAGGCUUGAACUUUUGCUUCCUUGCUAGCUUUUUCAUUGACUAAAUGACCUGUCCGACGUGAAGCGAGGACAACAGAUCCGCGGUUAAUAGCAUCAUCUUCACGAGCACCUGGUUCCCAUUUUAACAAUUCUUCCCAAGAAUUAAAUUUGAUUUCCUUUGGUUUUAAUGUUUUUUCUGUAUUUUUAGGGACAUCUGGCUGGACUUCUUUUUCAGUCUUAUUAGCUUCUGCUGCUGGCUUAGACUCAUCCCCUUGGUUAGUUGCUUCGGGCUUUGCUUCUGUUUCCUUGUCAGACUUAGGUUUUGCUUCUGCAGAUGGUGUUUCUGCAACCACCUCACCUGCUUUUUCCUCUGGUUUAGCUGCGCUAGCUGCUUCUGCCUUUUCUAGCUUGUUUUCUCUAGCAUGUUCCCCUUCAUUCUGCUUAUCAGCUUCAUUGGUCGAAUGCUCACUCUCUCCUGAAACAAGCUCUGUAUUAGCUCCGCUAUUUUCAGGAACUGCAGUUUCUUCAGCCAAGGCUGGACCAGCAAAUAAAACAGCACCAAUCAUCAGCGAGCAGGCUCCUACUGAUAACUUACGAAUACUGUAACGACAACGUCUUUCAAAAAAUGGAUUCUUCAUUUUCUCCUCCUAAAAGAUUGAUUUUGUUGUUUUAAAGAAAGCGCUUUAUAUUCUGUAGUUUUUUAUCAAACUCUAGAACCAUGAUAAUCACAUUUUUAUCCUAAAACAUUUUUAGACAAAAAACAAUAACUGUUUGCACAAAUCUAAAAUAAGGUUAAAAACUCUUAAAAAUAAUACACUUAUCAAUUAUAAUUUUCUUUUACAAACUUGACAUUAACACUUGUUAGAUUUACUUUUAUCCUUUAAAAUAGAAUAGGAGAUAUUCCGCGAUUAUUUUUCGGAGGAAAAAGAAAUGUCCAUUAAUUGGCAGGAAAUUUUAUUUCACUUUUUAGGUGGUCUGGGGCUAUUCUUAUAUAGCAUCAAGACCAUGGGAGACGGUUUGCAACAAGCUGCUGGAGAUCGCCUUCGUUUUUACAUUGACAAAUAUACUAGUAAUCCUUUCUUUGGAGUUCUGGUUGGUAUUGGGAUGACUGCUCUAAUUCAGUCUAGUUCUGGUGUAACAGUUAUUACAGUCGGCCUGGUCAGUGCCGGUCUCUUAACCUUACGUCAGGCUAUCGGGAUUGUCAUGGGUGCUAAUAUUGGGACAACUGUCACAUCCUUUCUCAUCGGUUUUAAAUUAGGUAACUAUGCCCUACCUAUGCUCUUUAUCGGUGCCGUCUGUCUCUUUUUUACGAAAAAUCGGACAGUCAAUAAUAUCGGACGCAUCCUCUUUGGUGUCGGUGGUAUCUUUUUUGCCCUCAAUCUCAUGAGCGGCGCAAUGGCUCCACUCAAGGAUUUACAGGUCUUUAAGGACUAUAUGAUUGAGCUAAGUAAGAAUCCUGUUUUGGGUGUCUUUGUCGGUACCGGCUUGACCUUGCUAAUUCAAGCUUCUUCGGCUACCAUUGGGAUUUUACAAAACCUCUACGCCGGCAAUCUAAUUGACCUACAGGGAGCUUUGCCAGUUCUAUUUGGUGACAAUAUCGGGACAACCAUUACAGCCAUCAUUGCCUCUUUAGGGGCUAAUAUUGCAGCUAAACGGGUAGCAGGAGCUCAUGUUGCCUUCAACGUUAUCGGAACAGUCGUCUGCGUUAUUUUUCUAGUUCCUUUUACUGUCCUGAUUCAUUGGUUUGAAGCUACGCUAAAUCUAGCACCGGAAAUGACCAUCGCCUUUGCUCACGGAACCUUUAAUAUUACCAACACCAUUGUCCAAUUUCCAUUUAUCGGAGCUCUGGCUUACUUUGUAACCAAGAUUAUUCCUGGAGAGGACGAGGUUGUCAAAUACGAACCCUUAUAUCUUGAUGAACAUUUCAUCAAACAAGCCCCAUCUAUCGCUCUAGGAAAUGCUAAAAAAGAGCUCUUGCACUUAGGAAACUACGCUGCUAAAGCCUUUGACCUUUCCUAUAAGUACAUCAUUGACUUGGAUGAAAAAGUUGCUGAAAAAGGGCAUAAAACCGAAGAAGCAAUUAACACCAUCGAUGAGCAAUUAACACGUUAUCUCAUUGCCCUUUCAAGCGAAGCUCUCAGCCAAAAAGAAAGUGAAGUGCUCACCAAUAUCCUUGAUUCCUCCCGUGAUUUGGAACGGAUUGGAGACCACACGGAGGCUCUACUCAAUCUGACUGACUAUCUUCAACGGAAAAAUGUUGAAUUUUCUGAUGCCGCCUUGAAAGAAUUAGAGGAAGUUUACCGCCAAACUAGUGACUUUAUCAAAGAUGCUCUGGAUAGUGUGGAAAACAAUGAUAUUGAAAAAGCACGCAGUCUUGUAGAACGUCAUGAAGCAAUCAAUAAGAUAGAACGUGUUCUCAGAAAAACCCACAUCAAACGCCUCAACAAAGGCGAAUGUUCAACACAAGCUGGGGUCAACUUUAUCGACAUCAUCUCACACUACACUCGUGUAUCAGACCACGCUAUGAACCUUGCUGAAAAGGUUUUUGCAGAACAAAUCUAAUAACCAAGAAGCUAUCCAUCAUAAUUGGAUGGCUUCUUACUUUUUCCUAAGCAAGACUAGGCUGAAUGAAACUGAAAGAGUAUUCUGCAGAUAUAUAGUAUAUUGAAACUAGAAUAGUACACCUCUAUUUCUAAAACAUUGUUAGAAAUCGAUUUGACUGUCCUGAUCGAUUUGUCCUGUUAUUAUUUCAUUUUACUAUANUUGAAGGUGCGGUAAGACGCACUGGAGGACCGAACCAGGGCACGUUGAAAAGUGCUUGGAUGACUUGUGGGUAGCGGAGAAAUUCCAAACGAACUUGGAGAUAGCUGGUUCUCUCCGAAAUAGCUUUAGGGCUAGCGUCGACAUUAGAGAUUCUUGGAGGUAGAGCACUGUUUGGGUGAGGGGUCCAUCCCGGAUUACCAAUCUCAGAUAAACUCCGAAUGCCAAUGAAUUAUGGUCGGCAGUCAGACUGCGAGUGCUAAGAUCCGUAGUCGAAAGGGAAACAGCCCAGACCACCAGCUAAGGUCCCAAAAUAAUUGUUAAGUGGAAAAGGAUGUGGGGUUGCACAGACAACUAGGAUGUUAGCUUAGAAGCAGCUAUUCAUUCAAAGAGUGCGUAAUAGCUCACUAGUCGAGUGACCCUGCGCCGAAAAUGUACCGGGGCUAAAACAAUUUACCGAAGCUGUGGAUACCUUUAUAGGUAUGGUAGGAGAGCGUUCUAUGUGUGAUGAAGGUAUACCGUGAGGAGUGCUGGAACGCAUAGAAGUGAGAAUGCCGGUAUGAGUAGCGAAAGACAGGUGAGAAUCCUGUCCACCGUAAGACUAAGGUUUCCAGGGGAAGGCUCGUCCGCCCUGGGUUAGUCGGGACCUAAGGAGAGACCGAAAGGUGUAUCCGAUGGACAACAGGUUGAUAUUCCUGUACUAGAGUAUGUAGUGAUGGAGGGACGCAGUAGGCUAACUAAAGCAGACGAUUGGAAGAGUCUGUCUAAGCAGUGAGGUGUGAAUUGAGUCAAAUGCUUAAUUCUAUAACAUUGAGCUGUGAUGGGGAGCGAAGUUUAGUAGCGAAGUUAGUGACGUCACACUGCCAAGAAAAGCUUCUAGCGUUUAAACAUACUCUACCCGUACCGCAAACCGACACAGGUAGUCGAGGCGAGUAGCCUCAGGUGAGCGAGAGAACUCUCGUUAAGGAACUCGGCAAAAUGACCCCGUAACUUCGGGAGAAGGGGUGCUGACUUUAAGUCAGCCGCAGUGAAUAGGCCCAAGCAACUGUUUAUCAAAAACACAGCUCUCUGCUAAAUCGUAAGAUGAUGUAUAGGGGGUGACGCCUGCCCGGUGCUGGAAGGUUAAGAGGAGUGCUUAGCGUAAGCGAAGGUAUGAAUUGAAGCCCCAGUAAACGGCGGCCGUAACUAUAACGGUCCUAAGGUAGCGAAAUUCCUUGUCGGGUAAGUUCCGACCCGCACGAAAGGCGUAAUGAUUUGGGCACUGUCUCAACGAGAGACUCGGUGAAAUUUUAGUACCUGUGAAGAUGCAGGUUACCCGCGACAGGACGGAAAGACCCCAUGGAGCUUUACUGCAGUUUGAUAUUGAGUGUCUGUACCACAUGUACAGGAUAGGUAGGAGUCUAAGAGAUCGGGACGCCAGUUUCGAAGGAGACGCUGUUGGGAUACUACCCUUGUGUUAUGGCCACUCUAACCCAGAUAGGUGAUCCCUAUCGGAGACAGUGUCUGACGGGCAGUUUGACUGGGGCGGUCGCCUCCUAAAAGGUAACGGAGGCGCCCAAAGGUUCCCUCAGAAUGGUUGGAAAUCAUUCGCAGAGUGUAAAGGUAUAAGGGAGCUUGACUGCGAGAGCUACAACUCGAGCAGGGACGAAAGUCGGGCUUAGUGAUCCGGUGGUUCCGUAUGGAAGGGCCAUCGCUCAACGGAUAAAAGCUACCCUGGGGAUAACAGGCUUAUCUCCCCCAAGAGUUCACAUCGACGGGGAGGUUUGGCACCUCGAUGUCGGCUCGUCGCAUCCUGGGGCUGUAGUCGGUCCCAAGGGUUGGGCUGUUCGCCCAUUAAAGCGGCACGCGAGCUGGGUUCAGAACGUCGUGAGACAGUUCGGUCCCUAUCCGUCGCGGGCGUAGGAAAUUUGAGAGGAUCUGCUCCUAGUACGAGAGGACCAGAGUGGACUUACCGCUGGUGUACCAGUUGUCUUGCCAAAGGCAUCGCUGGGUAGCUAUGUAGGGAAGGGAUAAACGCUGAAAGCAUCUAAGUGUGAAACCCACCUCAAGAUGAGAUUUCCCAUGAUUAUAUAUCAGUAAGAGCCCUGAGAGAUGAUCAGGUAGAUAGGUUAGAAGUGGAAGUGUGGCGACACAUGUAGCGGACUAAUACUAAUAGCUCGAGGACUUAUCCAA
rnacentral:rRNA from 1 species